rnacentral:rRNA from 1 species
UACGUAGGGGGCAAGCGUUGUCCGGAUUUAUUGGGCGUAAAGAGCGUGUAGGCGGCUUUGCAAGUCCGUUGUGAAAACUCGAGGCUCAACCUCGAGACGCCGGUGGAAACUGCAAAGCUAAAGUCCGGAAGAGGAGAGUGGAAUUCCUGGUGUAGCGGUGAAAUGCGCAGAUAUCAGGAGGAACACCGGUGGCGAAGGCGGAUCUCUGGGCCUUGCCUGACGCUGAGGCGCGAAAGCUAGGGGAGCGAACAGG